UAGCAGACUAACCUAGGUCAGGAGUCGCCAGCAGACUGCCUGUGGGCAACCACCAGUCCCUCUUAAAGUGCCUGCAAAAGGUAUCAGUAAAUAUCCAGAUCCACAAUGCAUGAAAUAGGGGGAAAUGCCCACACCGUUCUGUCUUUUUUAGAUGUAGCAGUCAUCGUGCGCUAUGCCACACACCCUGCAGCUUCCAUUUUAUGGCUGGCGCUCACAUUUUCCCAAACUAUCAAAUGCGUACCUGAUAGCUUAAAAAGUUGGCAGCUACUAAGUCAACUACUCGGGAGCAGUCUGAGACGUUUCGCACCUGAGGCAAAGUGCUCCAUGAUGUACGGGACAAACUCUGUAAGGGCUUCUCAAUGAGUCUUCCCCACUGGGCAGGGGGGAGGGGCAGGAGAGAUCUUUUCCAUACUGCCCCUUCUGCAGUCCCACUUAGAAUAUGUACAAAUCACACAUAUACACCGAUGAAGCAGCCAGUUAAUGAGGUGGGGGAACUGGAGGCAGCAGUUUUCAGCUCCAGUCGUACAACAGUUUCUGCUCACAGUACAUCCCAAUUUUAAAGUCUACACUGUUGACCCCCUCUCUGCCAGUUACCUCGUACUUCCCGCAUGGUGCUGCUAUUGCAUUCUUUUUAUAUUGCACGCAUGACAUGAAAUACGGCUGCUCCCCACCCCCACCCACAUGAAGCACUAUCCAGAUCACCUUAGCAGAGCUGGGAAAGGGGGGAGGGUUGCUGAGUUUUUGAACCGUACAUUAAUUCACACUGCAGGUGCCCAUCAACGCCACCAAACAGACGAUUUCCCUCCUCCUGGCCCUUACAAAUCUUUAAAUACAUCAACAGGGGGAGAAAGCUCUCCGCUCUCCCCAUGCAAUGCCAUAAACUCAGCGUGCAGUCAUCAAAACUCAUUAAAGAGUCACCUUUGGAGAAAGGUGGGGGGAGGGGGGAGCGAUACCUAUUAACAGCAAGAGCAAUGUUCUGCUUGUGGUUUUUGUUCACAGAUAACCAUCCAGCCCUCGGGUCCUUAUUCGGGUCAAUUUCAUGGUCAACCCAAUGAAGGCCUUCUAUUAUCUUCACAGCAUGGUGCCCCAUCAAGUUGACAACAUCUAGAAAGAUUUCCCAUGCUGAAGGAGGAGUUGAGCUGAAUUAAAGGCAGCGGCAGUGUG